AUGCUGCUGCUGGCAGCGCUUGUCUCCACAGCCGCUUGGUCUUGUGGAUUUGCACAAGAAAUUCCCGUGCAGAGCCCACUCUCUCUCACCAAGUCUAAAGGAAGUGUGCGUCUGGAAUGUCACUUUAAAGACGUCUCUGUAAAUUUUGAUGGUGCCACCAUACACUGGUAUCAACAGAAGGCGAAUAAAGCUCCAGAGAGGAUUCUCUACUUAUCAGGGACGACAAAAGUAGUAGAUGAGGGCUUCCAAGAACGCAGGUACAGGGUUGAAAAAGAUUCUAGCCAGAAACUGUGUAUUCUUACAAUAAACGAUGUCACUCCAGACGACACUGCUACCUACUAUUGCGCCUACUGGUACGAUCACUGUGUCGAUGUCCCUUGA